rnacentral:rRNA from 1 species
UACAGAGGUCUCAAGCGUUGUUCGGAUUCAUUGGGCGUAAAGGGUGCGUAGGCGGCGCGGUAAGUCGGAUGUGAAAUCUCGGAGCUUAACUUCGAAACUGCAUUCGAUACUGCCGUGCUUGAGGACUGGAGAGGAGACUGGAAUUUACGGUGUAGCGGUGAAAUGCGUAGAUAUCGUAAGGAAGACCAGUGGCGAAGGCGGGUCUCUGGACAGUUACUGACGCUGAGGCACGAAGGUCAGGGGAGCAAACGGG